CAGAUAGAGGUGCGGUAAAGAUAAGUAGUUCCGAACAGGCAGCCCUGCCGAUCAUGUCGGAAGCAAAAGGCAAUACCGCCGAAGGAUACGGCUUAACGGGCGGGCUGUAAUUCUGGUUGCAUAUUUAAGAGAUAUGUAAUUGUCAUCAUACUUAUGCCUUAGCCGCAUAUGAUGGAGAGCUAUCG
rnacentral:ncRNA from 1 species